rnacentral:rRNA from 1 species
GAUGAACGCUGGCGGCGUGCCUAAUACAUGCAAGUCGAGCGAACAGAAGAGGAGCUUGCUCCUCUGACGUUAGCGGCGGACGGGUGAGUAACACGUGGAUAACCUACCUAUAAGACUGGGAUAACUUCGGGAAACCGGAGCUAAUACCGGAUAAUAUAUUGAACCGCAUGGUUCAAUAGUGAAAGACGGUUUUGCUGUCACUUAUAGAUGGAUCCGCGCCGCAUUAGCUAGUUGGUAAGGUAACGGCUUACCAAGGCAACGAUGCGUAGCCGACCUGAGAGGGUGAUCGGCCACACUGGAACUGAGACACGGUCCAGACUCCUACGGGAGGCAGCAGUAGGGAAUCUUCCGCAAUGGGCGAAAGCCUGACGGAGCAACGCCGCGUGAGUGAUGAAGGUCUUCGGAUCGUAAAACUCUGUUAUUAGGGAAGAACAAAUGUGUAAGUAACUAUGCACGUCUUGACGGUACCUAAUCAGAAAGCCACGGCUAACUACGUG